CAGCAGCCACGGGAAUACAGAGGGUGCGAGCGUUAAUCGGAUUUACUGGGCGUAAAGCGUGCGUAGGCGGCUAAUUGAGUCGGAUGUGAAAUCCCCGAGCUUAACUUGGGAAUUGCAUUCGAUACUGGUUAGCUAGAGUGUGGGAGAGGAUGGUAGAAUUCCAGGUGUAGCGGUGAAAUGCGUAGAGAUCUGGAGGAAUACCGAUGGCGAAGGCAGCCAUCUGGCCUAACACUGACGCUGAGGUACGAAAGCAUGGGGAGCAAACAGGAUUAGAUACCCGAGUAGUCCCUGUCUCUUAUAC
rnacentral:rRNA from 1 species